rnacentral:rRNA from 1 species
AUGUCCAGCAACAAGGUAGCUGAUCAUUGGUGCCUGUCAGAGCGACAAGGUCAUCAUUUGCAAUCCAAUGGUGCAAUUGAUCUUGAACUUGAUGGUGGGACUGCAAGUCUUCAUCCAGAAAUAGGAGUCACAAAAGGUAAUACUCGAGUCAAAUGGAGUCCCCAAAUGGCUGAUCGAUGGUGCCUGUCAGAGCGACAAGGCCAUCAUCUGCAAUCCAAUGGGGCAAUUGAUCUUGAACUUCAUGGUGGGACUACAAGUCUUCAUCCAGAAAUAGGACUCACAAAAGUUAAUACUCGAGCCAAAUGGAGUCACCAAAUGAAGUUGUUCCUUGUUAGACUCUUAAAAGAUUAUGAUGUGCCUGGUUUUCGGACACAUAAUGCUUGGAGUAAGGAGGCAUGGACAAAUAUUGUUUCUCGACUAAAUCAAAGGUUUGAUCAAUCAUUUACUCUCAACCAAGUCAAACAAAAGGAGCAGGAUCUGAAGAGAGACUAUCGAAAUGUUAAAGAAUUGUUGGAUCAAAGUGGCUUUGGAUGGGAUAAGGACAGAAAAAUGGUUGAUGCACCAGAUAAUGUUUGGGCAAGCUUUGCCGCUCGUAAGAACAACAAGGAUGUCCUGCAAUGGAAAGAAAGGUCAUUCCCCCUUUAUGAAGAAUUAGCUCCACUCUAUGAAGGUCGUUAUGCUGAAGGGAGAACUCGUCGAGGCUUGGACCAUUAUACUAGGAAGAGGAAGCAUGCACCAGUUCCCUCAUCACAAUCGACACAAGUGACGGAUCUGUAUCAAUCACCAUCACCUACCAUGCCAGCUGCCGGUGAGUCAGAUAUGCAGUUUACAUUAGAUGAAAAACUUGACGAGUUCAAUUUGGAUUCUCCCCCGCACCUAUCUACACCUAUUCAGCAUGUGCAAGCCCCGCCAAGAUCUACACAAAUGGAGAAACAUGACACUAGGCGUGGGAAAAAACAGAAACGUGGUGCUAAUGAUGAUUUCCAUGAGAAGUAUCUAAAACUGAAGAAGGAAGAAAUUGAUCGAUUUGCUGCAAUUGAGGAGAAGAAGCUAGAGGACCCCUGCACCAUCAACAAGUGCAUCACAGCAGUUGAAGGGUUGGAAGGUUUACAACUAGGAGAUAUGUUGAUGGCAUCAGAUAUCUUCAAAUGCAAGGAGAACAGGGAAGUUUUCUUGUCAUAUUCUACUAAUGAACUACGACUGGCUUGGCUUAAAAGAGAGAUUGCGCGUGCCCAAACUACCCAUCAAAAUUAG